AGGAAUUAGUGAUUCCUUCUCCAAGUUAGUUAAGUACAUAGUUUUCUAGCUUGAAAAGGAAUAGUUGUCUAACUUAGUUAAUGAGUAGUUUCCAAGUUAGAUAAGGAUUUAUAGAGUUAGACUCUAUAAAUAGAGGUGCCUAGCUUAGUUCUAGACACCAGAGUGAAACAGAAACAACAUCAGUUUAGACCAGAGUGAAACAGAAACAACAUCUGUUUAGACCAGAGCGAAUCAGAGAGAGAGCUAGAGUGUUAUUGUGAGAUAAGGUAUUAGACAAUAAACAUUGUACCCUUUUGCACAAUAAUAAAAGAGGAAUACAUUUUCUUCGAACUACAUUACCCGUGUGUUUAGUACUAUUAAUGAUUCCGCUAGUAGUAGUAUCACCUACGUAAUUCGUAUCAAGUUGGUAAUCAGAGCUAACCGUAUCCGUGGGGAGUCUUGUGGUGUAUGGUCCUGACUCGUUCACUUUACAGAAAGCUAGGAAAAUCUCUUGUGUCUUUGGAAAAUACCACAAGAUCAAAAGGAAAGAAGAUGGGUGAUGAAACACCAGAGAAAGAAAGACUUGCUGCGUUGGAGAAGCAGAUGGCUGCGUCAAACACUGCAAUUGCAGAAUUGACCGGUCUCGUCAAACAGUUGCUAUUGAAGGAAUCACCGGAGAAGCCGAAGGAAACGAAUUCGGAGUCGGAAGAAGAACAAGCAAAGACGGGAUCAGAUGACGAGUUUGACACUGCCAGCAAAACCUCGCAACAAGAAGGAAGGAGUUCUUUUCGAAACUUAAAGAUUGAUUUCAAGAUUGAAGUUCCGAUGUACGAUGGCAGCGUCAAUGUUGACAAGUUGGACGACUGGAUUGAGCGGCUUGACACAUAUUUUAUGUUCCAUCGUUUUACAUCGCAAGAGAAGAUCACCUGUGCGACUCUGAAACUAUCAUCUCAUGCUUUAACUUGGUGGAAGUCCUACCGGAGGAAUAGUGAUGAGGAGGUAGUGUCGUGGAAGCAGUUCAAAGAAUUGCUUAGAAAGAAGUUCUAUCCAGUUUGGAGGAACGUUGGCACAAGUGGCAUAACUUGCGUCAGAAAACCAAUCAGUCCGUGCAGGAUUACACUACCGAAUUCCAGAAUCAAGCUAUGGUUCUAGAUAUAUCCCUGAAGGAGUAUUCGGUAUUUAUGAAGUACGAAGCAGGACUGCAUGAGUACCUCCAAAGGGAGUUGAGUUUGUUCACGGUACAAUCUGUUGAAGAAGCUAGCGUGAAAGCCAUCGCCAUUGAGAAGAAGUUCAGGAAGAACGAAACCAAGGGAGAUGGAAACAGACUGGGGGUAAGUCGAAUGUUUUCUAUGCCAAAAAGGAGGACCAGAAGAAAGGCGAGUCAGAUGGUAAAUCUUGCAGUCACUGCAAAGGAACAGGCCACGUGGCAGAUAAGUGUUGGGUAAAGUUCCUCACCUUAAGCCAAGAGUAUUACGGCACAAGGAGGAGAGGAAGAAGACAACAUUAAUCACUAACGAGGUAAAGGAAGUUCCAGGAAUGACAGAACCAAAUGCGAAGCUCAAUCUUAUGGCGGGAACACAGUUAGGGAACGACGACGAGAACCGCAGGGAGCAGCUUUUUGUUGUAAAGCUGCAGGUGAAGACUAGUUUAGUUGAUGCCAUCAUAGAUCCGGGAAGUCAAAAGAACCUUAUCUCGGAAGCUUUGGUUCACAAGUUAGGUCUUCAAACGGUCAAACAUCCGAAGCCAUAUCCAUUAGGAUGGAUUCAGAAGGACACAGGACUAAGUAUUACCAGUCAAUGCAGAUUCAAGUUUGCUCUUUAUGAAUCUUACAUCAAGGAAGUGACAUGCGAUGUGGUGCCAUUGGAUGUUUGUCAGGUGAUUCUGGGAAAUCCUUACUUAUGGGAUAGAGAUGCUAUCUACGAAAGGAAGGCUCAGAAGUACACAUUUACGAAAGACGGACAACGAUUCGUUAUCUGGGCGGCGUCCCUCCCACCAAAGACAAGCUUGAUAGCAGCGACUCAGGCUAAAAGAUUAGUCAAUGCUUGCAGGAAAUUUGUCUUGUUGACAUGUCCACAUGAAGGGCACUCAAGUCAAGAUGUUGAGAAGACAAAAUUGAAUAAGUCACAAGCAAAUUGAAACUUUGGUAUUAGCGACUUAGUAUGGUUAAGGCGGGGUAAAGAGCGCCUUAAAGAGGAUCCGUUGCCGACAGAUUGUAUUUUGGAGCGUCAAGUGGCUAUGACACGUCGAGGGGAACGAGCAGUGUUUCGCAUUGGGCGUGCAUGUCAGGUUCCAAGCAAGGCUAAAUGGUUCAGCAAAGAGAAGGGAACUCUUGAGUUUCCUAAUCUCCAGUGUUAACUUAAACUGGAGUUUAAGUUCCUAAAAAGGGGAGCCAUGAUACAGGUGUAUCCUUUAGCUUUUAGGAAUUAGUGAUUCCUUCUCCAAGUUAGUUAAGUACAUAGUUUUCUAGCUUGAAAAGGAAUAGUUGUCUAACUUAGUUAAUGAGUAGUUUCCAAGUUAGAUAAGGAUUUAUAGAGUUAGACUCUAUAAAUAGAGGUGCCUAGCUUAGUUCUAGACACCAGAGUGAAACAGAAACAACAUCUGUUUAGACCAGAGAGAGAGCUAGAGUGUUAUUGUGAGAUACGGCACAAUAAACAUUGUACCCUUUUGCACAAUAAUAAAAGAGGAAUACAUUUUCUUCGAACUACAUUACCUGUGUGUUUAGUGCUAUCAAUAAUUCCACUAGUAGUAGUAUCACCUAGGUAAUUCGUAUCAAAAUAAGUAAGAUAAAAAGUAAAUUCAUCAAAUGAAAUUUGGGAAGACCAUGUAAGUCAAUAAAAUUGGUGCAAUUAGAGCCCUCCUAUCUCCUACACUUGUAGUUCAGUGACCAAACAUUAUAAGAGUCCAAAAGGGUGACUACAGAUAUAAACAAUCAGUAAUGCAGGUGUUGUCAGCCAUCAUGAUGUAUUUCAGUGAUUCUGAAACAUAAAGACUCCAAAAUUUGAGUAUACAUUACCAGAAAAUCGUUUAGGUAAGCAGGAUGCUUUAAUCAGAUAAUACGCCCUGGACAAAAGUUAUCUCUCUAGACAUUACAUUUAUAAGAAGAAUGUAAUAUUGCUUUCUUUUGAGUCUUUUACUAUUAGUCUUCAUUGUCAUUUAAUUACCAGUAACAGAAGUUCUUUCAUACCUUCCUUAUUAAAUCUAAAUCAAGUUCAGCUUCUUGAAGCAACAUAUCAGCACUAGGAUUACGAUAAAACAUGAACUCACGUUCCCCAUCACUCCUCAACGUAACAAAUGCUAAAGCAGUUCGUGCACCAGGAUCAAAACGCAUCCCUUCAUUGUUGACAUUAUUCUUCUUUAAUAUAUCAGCAAGCAU
rnacentral:lncRNA from 1 species